AUACGGAGGGUGCAAGCGUUAUUCGGAAUCACUGGGCGUUAAGGACGCGUAGGCGGGUUGGCAAGUCAGAUGUGAAAUCCUACAGCUUAACUGUAGAACUGCAUUUGAAACUGCUAACCUAGAGUAUGGGAGGGGGAGAUGGAAUUAGUGGUGUAGGGGUAAAAUCCGUAGAUAUCACUAGGAAUACCGAAAGCGAAGGCGAUCUCCUGGAACAUAACUGACGCUAAGGCGUGAAAGCGUGGGGAGCAAACAGGAUUAGAAACCCUAGUAGUCC
rnacentral:rRNA from 1 species